rnacentral:rRNA from 1 species
CAAUAGCGUAUAUUUAAGUUGUUGCAGUUAAAAAGCUCGUAGUUGGAUUUCGGGUGGGACGCAGCGGUCUCGCAUUGCGUUUGUACUGCUGCAGCCCUCCUUCUUGCCGGGGGCGGCCUCUCGGACUUCACUGUCUGGGGGUCAGAAUCGGCGAUGUUACUUUGAGUAAAUUAGAGUGUUCAAAGCAAGCUUACGCUCUGAAUAUAAUAGCAUGGGAUAACACGACAGGACUCUGGCCUAUCGUGUUGGUCUAUAGGACCAGAGUAAUGAUUAAGAUGGACAGUCGGGGGCAUUCGUAUUCCGUUGUCAGAGGUGAAAUUCUUGGAUUUACGGAAGACGAACAUCUGCGAAAGCAUUUGCCAAGGAUGUUUUCAUUGA